AACGAACGCUGGCGGCAUGCCUAACACAUGCAAGUCGAACGAUACCUUCGGGUCUAGUGGCGCACGGGUGCGUAACGCGUGGGAACCUGCCCUUAGGUUCGGAAUAACUCCCCGAAAGGGGUGCUAAUACCGGAUAAUGUCUUCGGACCCAAGAUUUAUCGCCUUUGGAUGGGCCCGCGUUGGAUUAGCUAGUUGGUAGGGUAAAAGCCUACCAAGGCGACGAUCCAUAGCUGGUCUGAGAGGAUGAUCAGCCACACUGGGACUGAGACACGGCCCAGACUCCUACGGGAGGCAGCAGUGGGGAAUAUUGGACAAUGGGCGAAAGCCUGAUGCAGCAAUGCCGCGUGAGUGAUGAAGGCCUUAGGGUUGUAAAGCUCUUUUACCCGGGAUGAUAAUGACAGUACCGGGAGAAUAAGCUCCGGCUAACUCCGUG
rnacentral:rRNA from 1 species